UGUCCCUGCCGUCUUGGCGCG
rnacentral:misc_RNA from 1 species